rnacentral:rRNA from 1 species
GAUGAACGCUGGCGGCGUGCCUAAUACAUGCAAGUCGAGCGAACAGACGAGGAGCUUGCUCCACUGACGUUAGCGGCGGACGGGUGAGUAACACGUGGAUAACCUACCUAUAAGACUGGGAUAACUUCGGGAAACCGGAGCUAAUACCGGAUAAUAUAUUGAACCGCAUGGUUCAAUAUUGAAAGACGGUUUUGCUGUCACUUAUAGAUUGAUCCGCGCCGCAUUAGCUAGUUGGUAAGGUAACGGCUUACCAAGGCAACGAUGCGUAGCCGACCUGAGAGGGUGAUCGGCCACACUGGAACUGAGACACGGUCCAGACUCCUACGGGAGGCAGCAGUAGGGAAUCUUCCGCAAUGGGCGAAAGCCUGACGGAGCAACGCCGCGUGAGUGAUGAAGGUCUUCGGAUCGUAAAACUCUGUUAUUAGGGAAGAACAAAUGUGUAAGUAACUAUGCACGUCUUGACGGUACCUAAUCAGAAAGCCACGGCUAACUACGUG